GACGAACGCUGGCGGCGUGCUUAACACAUGCAAGUCGAACGGAAAGGCCCUGCUUUUGUGGGGUGCUCGAUUGGCGAACGGGUGUGUAACACAUGUGUAACCCGCCCUUGUCUUUCGGAUAUCUUCAGGGAACUGGGGCUCAUACCGGAUAGGAGCUCCUGCUCCGUGGUGGUGGUUGGAAAGUUUCGGCGGUUGGGGCUGGACUCGCGGCUUAACGGCUUGUUGGUGGGGUAGUGGCUUACCAAGGGUUUGACGGGUAGCCGGCCUGAGCGGGUGGCCGGCCACAUGGGGACUGAGAGAGGGACCAGACUCCUACGGGAGGCAGCAGUGGGGAAUAUUGCACAAUGGGCGGAAGCGUGAUGCAGAAACGCCGCGUGCGGGAUGACGGCCUUCGGGUUGUAAACCGCUUUCGCCUGUGACGAAGCGUGAGUGACGGUAAUGGGUAAAGAAGCACCGGCUAACUACGUG
rnacentral:rRNA from 1 species